GGGAGGAUUGAUUGAGCCCGGGUAGUAGAGGCUGCAGUGAGCUAUGAUCACACCACUGCACUCCAGCCUGAGUGACAGAGCGAGACCCUGUCUCA
ensembl:miRNA